ACACAUCUCUCAACACAUAUGGAAGGUGAUGGUCCACGUGUUGCUCAGCAAAUGGUGCUAGGGGGGAGUGUUUGGAUUGAUCACGUGGAGUGAUCCUAAUCAUCCGUGAGGGGCGUGGAUCCUAGAGUUGAAAGGUGGCAGAGGCUAGCUUUAAUGGCAAUGGCCACAUGUUGUAAAGCAUGCAGGAAGGGCGUGGGAUUCGAAAGAAUGCCUGAAACAGGGCAAUCUAAGUCGUUCCUGGAGAACCAAGUCCAACGGCUAGGAGAAAAGAUGCUUCCCAGUAUUAAUGGCGCGGGGGACAAGGGGUAACAUGUGUCUCCUAAGGUGCGGAGGAGACAGGCACGCGCACCUAGGAGGUCUGGCCACAAUUAUUGCUCCUGACACGAAGCAAUACUAGCCAUUGAUUUGCUACAGGGAUCCAACAGCAGGAGAUGGAGCAGCUUUGGAUAUCCAACGUGGCUUAAUAUCAACGCUCAAUAGAAACAAAGAGUGAAUGGCCAAGAUUCAACUAUGUGUGAUUUUGAUCGUGCGGAGAUGAAGUAUUCCACGUGUCAUGAUCCUAGGGUGCCAGAGCUUGACAUAUUUAAGCUCAAAAAAUUCAUUUUUCUCAUUUUUUCACUCUCUCUGUUUCUUUCUUUCCCUCUCGUCUCCUCUCUACGAAAACCCUAGUCCAAACCCCUCUCUGCAACUCACCAGUGCUCGCAACCUCCUUAGCCUUUUACCCCUCUUGUUCUCCUACCACCACAAACUCGAAAAUCAUGCUUUUUAGCUUUCUGCAACUCUCUCAACCUCUCUCUGUCCCUCUCAUGCAACUUUGAUUCGUCUUCUUCUUCAGACGAAACCCUAGAUUUCCCAACCUGCAACUCACUAGUACCUGCAACCUCCUCGGCCUCUUUCAGUUUCUCGCUUUUUUCUUCUCCUUCUUAAAAGACAACACCCUAGAUCUGCAACUCCACCUGACUAAUUUUUCUAUUACCCUCACGCUAGCCUCUCAAACUCUCUGUCUCAAGUAUUGACCUUCCUCAUAGAAGCUUAAUUUCGAGGUGGCCGCCGGUGCGCUCAGUUCCUGGCUAGAACAUCUGAAUGGUCUUUACCAAAGGGUAAGGUCAAGAGCAAAGUUCAAAGAGUGAUUCCAAGUCUUCGCGGAUGCCAAAAAAAAUUUAAGCAAGCUGGAAGGUCCAAGUGGCAGCUCUGGAGUGGAGUGCAAGGCAUCUUCCCUUUAUGUAUUUUUUUUGUUUUUAUUAUUUUUUUCUAUAAUGCACGUACCCUCGUGUUGCUCUUCCUGCAACCACUAUUUGUACAACUUGCGUAGUCUUAUUUUCCAUGUAUGUAUGUAUGGAUGUACCCCCAGGUUUUUUGUACUGUGACUGUUAUUUGUAUCCCCCCCCCCCCCCCCCAACUUUAUUUCCUCGUACUUUUCCUUGUUUUCAUUAACAUUCCCCUUGUAAUAUGUUCGUGCAUUUGUGGCUUCACGUGUACACACGUGCCUCUUUUUUAAUAAAAUCUGUGAUGAAUGCACUUUUUAA